rnacentral:lncRNA from 1 species
AGUACUACUAAUGACUACUAGAUCCACAAGAACCUCAAAGUUAAUUCAAUAGACUAAUUAAAUAUACCCCACUGAAUGUCUAUACUUCAAACCAUACUCAAAACCCAAUGCAACAAUUUAGAAUUACACAACAUUUACUUGCUCAGAUCUAACAGCUUCAAUCAUACAGUUUAUACAAAUUUCAAAAUUAGAUUGAGGAAUAUUUUCAAUCAAGUAAAUAGCAGCAGAAACUCAAAUCAAGCACUUCAAAAGUGUUUCAUUAUUCAGCCUUCAAAUCAGAUUUACAUGCGUGCUCAAAACUCCCAGGAAGGAUUGUAUACAUGCAUGGAAAUGGAUUUCAACAAGAGGAAAAAAAUCGACAACAGAUCAAACAGUUCACAGAGCAAAUAUCAACAGCAAUUUCAACCCAGAAACUUGGAGUGACAGUCCAAAAAUUUUGAAAUCCACACAUAACUACAAAUCCGAGCAGGAGUGAAACCUAACCAACUUGGAACAGACCAACACCUUUAAAAACCGAGCUAUGAGGCAGAAUUUUGGAAGCUACAACUCAACAAUUGAGUGAAACUCAAUGAAACAGUAAAUUCCAUGAUUUUUUCUAUUUUUGUAUAUAUAUAUAUUGUAUUUUUGGGUAUUUGAAUGUAGCAGACUAAUUUAAAGCUAAAUGGAAAGAAAAACUUAGAUUUCUUGUGAAUUUUUUGGCUGAAAAGUUUGAACCCCACUCCCAAGGCAUUAAAUGCUCUAUUUGUAGGAGCAAAAUAGGGCAG